UGGGGAAUAUUGGACAAUGGGGGGAACCCUGAUCCAGCGAUGCCGCGUGAGUGAUGAAGGCCUUAGGGUUGUAAAGCUCUUUUGAUAGGGACGAUAAUGACGGUACCUGUAGAAUAAGCACCGGCUAACUCUGUGCCAGCAGCCGCGGUAAUACAGAGGGUGCAAGCGUUGUUCGGAAUUACUGGGCGUAAAGAGCGUGUAGGCGGGAAGAUUAGUCAGAUGUUAAAGACCCGGGCUUAACCUGGGGGAGGUGUCUGAAACGGUUUUUCUAGAGUGCAAAAGGGGAGAAUGGAAUUUCCGGUGUAGAGGUAAAAUUCGUAGAUAUCGGAAGGAACACCAGUGGCGAAGGCGAUUCUCUGGGUUGUCACUGACGCUGAGGCGCGAAAGCGUGGGGAGCAAACAGG
rnacentral:rRNA from 1 species